CGCCACGCUCAAUAAGUUAUGACUCUACUAAUUGUUAGUUCCUUUCUAACAUUGCUUAAAGUUUCACUCUUUGAGGUUAUUUAGUAUACACAAUGAACUUAUUUUGUUUGACAUAAUGCCUCAAUGUGAAUUUUGUUUCUGAUUCUAGAUGUUUUAUGAAUUAAACUUAUUCGUUUAUGAGAAGGAAGCUAAGGAGAUGUUAAAGAUAGAAAAUUUGAGGGUCUUGACGUCAAUAAAGAAGAUUUGUUGGAUCAAUCCCUUGAUGUGCUCUAUGAGAAAGAGUUCGAUGAGAGAUUGGCCUUCAUUGUUGCCGCAUUCAAUAGGGACUUGCAGCAUGGGUUUAUAGAAAAGAGCAGGCAUAAAAGUAAGAGAAAGCACGGAAGAAAGUUACUUCCACCAAAGAAUGCAACUAACAUAGAAGUUAAAUCCAAAUGUGUUAUAACCCCUUAGCAAAGUGAGAAGCUGAAAAGAGUGGCUUCGCUACAAGUAAGAAAGGCUUAACCUUGAAGGAGAACAAACUUCCUAUCACAAUGCUAAAGUUUGCAAAGCAGGUACUAGAGGAAAUCAUCAUCAUUGGUUGAAUGUGAAACUCCUUGCUCCCCUUCUUAGCUUGGGAUCUUGAUCAGCUGCUCCAAAACACAAACAACAGGAACAACUUGACCAUGGGCGGAGGAAUAAGGAAUGCUAGUAAGGUUUUAAGAAGUUUUUUCUUUUCCCCUUAUGAUGUUAGUUUUAGUUUUUUAAGGCUAGGCGACAUUUUAGUAAUUAGUAUAAGAGUUAAUAUGAUGUUAUGUAUGAUUUAUUUGGUUAAUGUAAUAUUACUUGUUGAUGAUUUAUAAAUUAUAAAAGUUAUGUAUA